rfam:Pan troglodytes isolate Yerkes chimp pedigree #C0471 (Clint) chromosome 6, whole genome shotgun sequence.
GAGUACGGCCAUACCACCCUGAACACGCCCGAUCUUGUCUGAUCUCGGAAGCUAAGCAGGGUUGGCCUGGUUAGUGCUUGGAUGGGAGGAAUAGAUCUUGAAUUUC